AUUACUGAGAUGGGGUUCUUUUGAGCCCGACCUCCAACCCUUUGUUUAAACUACUUUGUUGCUUUGGCAGGCCCGCUCUUCGGAGCCGCUGGGGGCGUUCAGUCGCCUCUGGUCAGUGCUUGCCAGUAGCCAAUUUAAAUUCUUUUAACUAUGUCGUCUGAAUAAUAAUUAUAAAUUUAAUUAAAACUUUCAACAACGGAUCUCUUGGUUCUGGCAUCGAUGAAGAACGCAGCGAAAUGCGAUAAGUAAUGUGAAUUGCAGAAUUCAGUGAAUCAUCGAAUCUUUGAACGCACAUUGCGCCCUUUGGUAUUCCAAAGGGCAUGCCUGUUCGAGCGUCAUUAUCAACCCUCAAGCCCGGCUUGUUAUUGGGUCCUUUAUCGUUAAAAACGAUAGGCCCGAAAGAUAAUGGCGGUGUCGAGAUUGACCCCAGGUGCAGCGAGCUUAUAGCAUACACUGAAAGGUUAACUCGUCCCGGCCUCCUUUUUAUAUUUUCUAAGGUUGACCUCGGAUCAGGUAGGAAUACCCGCUGAACUUAAGCAUAUCAAUAAGCGGAGGAAAAGAAACCAACAGGGAUUGCCUUAGUAACGGCGAGUGAAGCGGCAAAAGCUCAAAUUUGAAAUCUGGCUCUUUUAGAGUCCGAGUUGUAAUUUGUAGAGGAUGUUUCGGGCAAGGCUUCGGUUUAAAUUCCUUGGAACAGGAUGUCAGAGAGGGUGAGAGCCCCGUCUUGAACCAACUGCCGCGUCCAUGUGAAACUCCUUCGACGAGUCGAGUUGUUUGGGAAUGCAGCUCAAAAUGGGAGGUAAAUUUCUUCUAAAGCUAAAUAUUGGCCAGAGACCGAUAGCGCACAAGUAGAGUGAUCGAAAGAUGAAAAGCACUUUGAAAAGAGAGUUAAACAGUAUGUGAAAUUGUUGAAAGGGAAGCGCUUGCAACCAGACUUGUUCUUAACGGUUCCACCAUGAUUUUUCAUGGUUUAUUCCGUUCUGACAGGCCAGCAUCAGUUUGGGUGGUUAGUUAAAGGCUUCGGGAAGGUAUCAUCGUCUUCGGAUGUUGACUUAUAGCCCGAGGUGUAAUGUGACCUACCUAG
rnacentral:rRNA from 1 species